GAUGAACGCUGGCGGCGUGCCUAAUACAUGCAAGUCGAGCGAACAGACGAGGAGCUUGCUCCUCUGACGUUAGCGGCGGACGGGUGAGUAACACGUGGAUAACCUACCUAUAAGACUGGGAUAACUUCGGGAAACCGGAGCUAAUACCGGAUAAUAUAUUGAACCGCAUGGUUCAAUAGUGAAAGACGGUUUUGCUGUCACUUAUAGAUGGAUCCGCGCCGCAUUAGCUAGUUGGUAAGGUAACGGCUUACCAAGGCAACGAUGCGUAGCCGACCUGAGAGGGUGAUCGGCCACACUGGAACUGAGACACGGUCCAGCCUCCUACGGGAGGCAGCAGUAGGGAAUCUUCCGCAAUGGGCGAAAUCUUGACGGAGCAACGCCGCGUGAGUGAUGAAGUUCUUCGGAUCGUAAAACUCUGUUAUUAGGGAAGAACAAAUGUGUAAGUAACUAUGCACGUCUUGACGGUACCUAAUCAGAAAGCCACGGCUAACUACGUG
rnacentral:rRNA from 1 species